CGCCAAUGAUGCAGAUCAUAUUUGCUACUCUUGAUGGUACUACCAUCUGAUGAUUAUCUUCCACCAAGAUCUCCGAGGCA